rnacentral:rRNA from 1 species
AGUAACGCGUGGGUAACCUGCCUCAUACAGGGGGAUAACAGUUGAAAUGACUGCUAAUACCGCAUAAGCGCACAGUGCUGCAUGGCACAGUGUGAAAAACUCCGGUGGUAUGAGAUGGACUCGCGUCUGAUUAGGUAGUUGGUGGGGUAACGGCCUACCAAGCCGACGAUCAGUAGCCGACCUGAGAGGGUGACCGGCCACAUUGGGACUGAGACACGGCCCAA